UUCAACGUGUUAAAUAAAUAAUUGAUUCGAAUGAAAUUUUAUAUUUCAAUGCUGUGGUAAUUAGCGAAGUUAUAGCUAAGUGUCUUUAUAUGAAAAUGAGAGUUUUCUCGUUACCGGUACGCAACGUGUUAAAAUGAUCAUCGGGAUUCUCCGAGAUCUCACAUUUUGCGGUUUCAUUGUUGCUAUCACGGUCUACCGAGAAUCUAUGUAUAUAGAGGGUACGUCUUGUUACAAUCUGCUGUUUCUAAUCUUCCCUCCACUUCUCUCCGAUGUGAAUGUUCAGAUUUUACAGAUUUACGAAUUUUCAUAUUUGCGAACGACAGCUGUUGAGGACGCCGAUGAUUUGGUAUUACAGUACUCGUAUUACGCUGUUACCUACCAGAUAAUGUAACUAAAGAUUCUUGUUUGAUAUCAAUCUUCUUAUUGUAAUCGUUCUUAACCAAUUAACUGUGUUUGACGAGUAUACACGUCAUAAAGCUUGACAUCGUACUCUUUCAGCGAUGAAUACUUUACUUUUUCACAUAAACAUAUAAUUCUUCUUUGUUCCGCUUUGAUCUCUCAUUAAAAUAUACUCUAGAAGAAGUUUUUCCAACUAAAUUCCACAGUUAAUUGGUUAAGUAAUUUCGACCAUCGUGGCAGUCAACGUAUUAAACAGAAGAUUGCAAGAAUUUCUAAGCAAAAUUUAGCGAUCGCAACAAACGCUGUAUUUACGGGAAUUUCAAUCCGAUAUUGAACUGUUUAAGUAUUAUUUCGCGACAGUGUACCUCGAUUUUCAUCGAAUCUGCGAAUACACAUAAUUCUUGAAACACUGACUCCCACAAUCUGUAUAAACAAACGUAUACUCUUCUAGGGAACGAUAGAAUAAAAUAUAGACUAAACCUGCGUUAAGCUAAACGCAGUUAAAUUAAACUAGUGUUAAGCGAAAAUCGGAUCUCCGAGUUACAAGAAAUUUCAAACUAAGUACACAAUACCGAAAAGAUGCGUGAAAGGAAAUAUAGAUUACCAUUAUUAGACUUACUCUCCGCCUAGCCAGCUUGCCAUCUCCGAGAUACAAUCGUACUGGGAAGUUUCGAUCAGCCAGCCGGUCAGCAACCUAUUCAGAUCUGACUCUAGACAGUUGACGCUUUGCGAAAACGCUUCGGGAAGCACAGUGUGCGUGUGCGCGUGUGUGUCUGCGUAUGUACAUGUCAGUGUGCCUGUUUGUCGUUGAGUGAAUAUGCAACGUUAGUUCUGUUUCGAAUUAACGCGUUCACGUACAGUACAAAGUUGGAUUGCAACAAUGGGAAAAAUGCAAAUUCGGUUCUCCGAGAGUUAAAGCGCGUGACAGUUUCAAUAAAUUAACCCUCUGCAUUUGAAUAAAUUUCAACUUCAAUAAAUUAACCCUUAACGUUAGAUCUUGAGUAAUCUGUCGACGCGUGAAAUGUGGAAAUAAAAUACCAUUGUUCCCCUUAUUUUGAAUAGAUUCCUCGUUAAGUUGAAAAAAGUGUCAUCUAUAUCUCAUAAAAAUAAAUUGAACAUUUCUAGUGACAAAUUCUUUGAGUGCAAAGGGUUAAGGCUAUGUCGAAUUAAAUGCGUGACAAUGUGGCUUACAAAUUCGAACGUUAUAGCAUCCAAGCGAUUCGGCAUCGCAUCGAGGAUGAACAAUAUUUAUACUUAUCUUACACUGAAUUGUUUUCACUUGACGCACGAAAGCUGUUAGAUCUGACGCGAUUAAAUUAGAGAAUAAGAUGA